rnacentral:rRNA from 1 species
AGGGAAACCGAGUCUUAACUGGGCGUUAAGUUGCAGGGUAUAGACCCGAAACCCGGUGAUCUAGCCAUGGGCAGGUUGAAGGUUGGGUAACACUAACUGGAGGACCGAACCGACUAAUGUUGAAAAAUUAGCGGAUGACUUGUGGCUGGGGGUGAAAGGCCAAUCAAACCGGGAGAUAGCUGGUUCUCCCCGAAAGCUAUUUAGGUAGCGCCUCGUGAAUUCAUCUCCGGGGGUAGAGCACUGUUUCGGCAAGGGGGUCAUCCCGACUUACCAACCCGAUGCAAACUGCGAAUACCGGAGAAUGUUAUCACGGGAGACACACGGCGGGUGCUAACGUCCGUCGUGAAGAGGGAAACAACCCAGACCGCCAGCUAAGGUCCCAAAGUCAUGGUUAAGUGGGAAACGAUGUGGGAAGGCCCAGACAGCCAGGAUGUUGGCUUAGAAGCAGCCAUCAUUUAAAGAAAGCGUAAUAGCUCACUGGUCGAGUCGGCCUGCGCGGAAGAUGUAACGGGGCUAAACCAUGCACCGAAGCUGCGGCAGCGACACUAUGUGUUGUUGGGUAGGGGAGCGUUCUGUAAGCCUGUGAAGGUGGCCUGUGAGGGUUGCUGGAGGUAUCAGAAGUGCGAAUGCUGACAUAAGUAACGAUAAAGCGGGUGAAAAGCCCGCUCGCCGGAAGACCAAGGGUUCCUGUCCAACGUUAAUCGGGGCAGGGUGAGUCGACCCCUAAGGCGAGGCCGAAAGGCGUAGUCGAUGGGAAACAGGUUAAUAUUCCUGUACUUGGUGUUACUGCGAAGGGGGGACGGAGAAGGCUAUGUUGGCCGGGCGACGGUUGUCCCGGUUUAAGCGUGUAGGCUGGUUUUCCAGGCAAAUCCGGAAAACCAAGGCUGAGGCGUGAUGACGAGGCACUACGGUGCUGAAGCGACAAAUGCCCUGCUUCCAGGAAAAGCCUCUAAGCAUCAGGUAACAUCAAAUCGUACCCAAAACCGACACAGGUGGUCAGGUAGAGAAUACCAAGGCGCUUGAGAGAACUCGGGUGAAGGAACUAGGCAAAAUGGUGCCGUAACUUCGGGAGAAGGCACGCUGAUAUGUAGGUGAAGCGACUUGCUCGUGGAGCUGAAAUCAGUCGAAGAUACCAGCUGGCUGCAACUGUUUAUUAAAAACACAGCACUGUGCAAACACGAAAGUGGACGUAUACGGUGUGACGCCUGCCCGGUGCCGGAAGGUUAAUUGAUGGGGUUAGCGGUAACGCGAAGCUCUUGAUCGAAGCCCCGGUAAACGGCGGCCGUAACUAUAACGGUCCUAAGGUAGCGAAAUUCCUUGUCGGGUAAGUUCCGACCUGCACGAAUGGCGUAAUGAUGGCCAGGCUGUCUCCACCCGAGACUCAGUGAAAUUGAACUCGCUGUGAAGAUGCAGUGUACCCGCGGCAAGACGGAAAGACCCCGUGAACCUUUACUAUAGCUUGACACUGAACAUUGAGCCUUGAUGUGUAGGAUAGGUGGGAGGCUUUGAAG